rnacentral:misc_RNA from 1 species
UAAAAAAGUGCGAAGAGCUCAAUAUUUGUUUAAAAAGUGAAAACCAUCAAUAUGCACGUAUCUACAUGUAAUUAACAAAACUGCCGCCGGAAUUCGCUAAAAAGUCAACAUGUCGUAUACGUAACAUAUUUGUACAGCUGCUCAUCACUACAACAGAUACUAUGCAAGCAGAGGUCGCAUAAAGUUGGUUAGUUUUAAGUUUAACAAGUUCGUUGAGUGUUUAAAGGAUCCAUAUACAUAUAGAUAUGUAUGUACGAAGUAGGUGGUUCGACAAAUUUCGCUCGCAAAUAAUUUAAUUAAUACUACGAAAGGCAAAUAAAGAAAAUUGGUGCAAUAAAUUAAAAUUUACAAAAGCGACAAAAUACGAGCAACUGGAAAAGCAACAACAACUGCAAUAUACCAAAACUCACACCUACACACACAUUCGUAGCAAAAAACUGCUAAAACAACAAACGUUGAGCACUCUUGUAAAAAACAUGUGACUGUUAAGGCGAGUAAGCAACACGCAAACGACAAAGUAAAAAUAAUAAAAACAGCAACACGAAAAAUUAAAAAAAGAACUGAAAAUGAACACUUAAACCGAAAAAUAAAGGAAUCAACGAAGCAGCGCCAAACGCCAACACAGAGAUAUGCAGCCAAUAUAACGGUAUAUUCAUAGUCGGUUUUUCGCGCGUUAAAAUAAUAUUUUAGUACAGUCUGCCGUAAAAACAUAUACAUACAAAUGCAAUGAAAAUACAGUGGCGUUUGUAAGCGCAGCAAAAAAUAGAAAAUGUAAAUUUAUUUAAAAAAACGCGGUUGUAAAAUUGAGACAAUAAAUAACGAAAUACUAACCUAGAACAUUUUUAAAUUCGGCAGUAGUACAUAUGUAUGUGUAUGUUUUUCAACCUAACCUCAAUAUAAGUUAGUUAUGUACAGUGCGUUUGAGUGUGUGUAAAUUUAAGUUACUUUGUGUCGACUUUAUUUAAUUAAAUAUAACAAAAACUACAACUCUUCUAAAACCAACGGCACCGGAAAUAUAAAACAACAACAAUAGCAACAGAAAGCGCGGUAGUCGUUAUCACGCUCAUCGUCACAACCAACGUUCGCAGUC